UGUGGCUGGAGGCAGGGAGCAGGCUUGCAGGGUUGAGCCGGGCUGGGGAGGGCUUUACUGGUGGGGAUGCUCCGUCCAACUACGUGCGCUUGAACACAGACCAGCAGUGCUGGUGGUGUGGAGCACACUCACACUUUUGGGCUGCACUGGGAAGAGCUUCCCAAAUGGAGGAGCUGUUCUUUGAGGCAUGGGAGGAAGACCGGAGUGGAAGCCUCUUUUAUCUUGUUGAUGGCUGCCACUGCUGUUGGUGCCACUGCUGCUACUUCUUGGCUGCCAUCAGUAUAUUUUGGAGGUGGCUUCCCUGCUCCAAUUCUGAAUGAAGACUGAAUACUGGAACCUCGCCAGAACUGGGCAACUGUUGUUGAUUCACAGAAAAUAUUUGUCUUUGGGCUGCAUGUUCCCUUUGUAGCACUGCCAAAGCAGUUUUGGACACAGAAAUCUCUGCUUGCUGUUCUGGACUCUGACUUUGGCCUGACUACAUACAUACCUCUGGCCCUUCCAGCUUGGAGGCCUGAUCGCACAGGGCCCCGACAGCAGUUCUACUGUGGAAGUUACACAGGUAUGGCCAUGUAUGUUGCCUGGAUGGGAGACUACCUGGGAACCAUUUAAAAAGCUCCUUCAAGCUCCUUACAGGAAAACUGGAGCACAAAAGUAGUAAGUCAAUUAGUAUUACUGAUUUUACCUGGCUUAACAUCUAUAUAGAUUGAAAAUUAAUCUGAAGGCUCCAUCCAAGAUUAAUUUAGGCUGAAAAAGAAAGCCUCUACAGAAUUAUGGAACGG